rnacentral:rRNA from 1 species
AGCAGCCGCGGUAAUUCCAGCUCCAAUAGCGUAUAUUAAAGUUGUUGCAGUUAAAAAGCUCGUAGUUGAAUUUCGGAAUUUGUCGGUCGGUCGGGCUUUAUUGUCCGCACUGACCUGAUAGAUUCCUACCUUCUGAAUAACCAGCAUGCUAUUAAUUUAGUGCGUUGGGGAAGCAGAGCUAUUACCUUGAAAAAUUAGAGUGCUUAAAGCAGGCUUAUGCUUGAAUAGAUUAGCAUGGAAUAAUAAAAUGGGACGGCUUGGUUCUAUUUUGUUGGUUUCUAGGAUCACCGUAAUGAUUAAUAGGGAUAGUUGGGGGCAUUAGUAUUCAAUUGUCAGAGGUGAAAUUCUUGGAUUUAUUGAAGACUAACUUCUGCGAAAGCAUUUGCCAAGGAUGUUUUCAUUAAUCAAGAACGAAAGUUAGGGGAUCGAAGACGAUCAGAUACCGUCGUAGUCUUAACCAUAAACUAUGCCGACUAGGGAUCGGACGAUGUUAAUUUUUAAUGACUCGUUCGGCGCCG